GCAGUUGUUCUAAAAAUAAAGGCAAAGUGAGCAGAAAAAAUUAACGGUCUUCGUCCGCCAUCUUCUUUAUAACUGUCUCAGUGACAUUCCUCUGAACUUGUGCCUCUUCCAUUCGAUUCACGUCGAGCGUCGUGUUGUGUGUGUGUAAUACGUCGUGCGUAUGCAAGGCAAAAUCGAGAUGAAGGAGUGGAAACACGACAGACUAUAUCCACCUUCUGUAAUAACGUCUGUGCACGAUACAUUGCAUCCACCUUUCGUAAAAACGUCUGCGUACCUGAAGGCUUCAAAAGACCACAUUAUCGUCCUUCAUUUUAUAUUUCAUUAUGAUUCCUGCUAUGGCAACGAAUACUUUCGUGAUGAGUUGACCUUCCACACAGACAACAACACUUUAACAUACAACGUAUGCAAAUCACCAGAAAAAUUUCUGCAGAACUCUCACUUUCUUUACUGGGUGGGUACUUAUAAAAUUUAUAAGUUAUAGCCUGUUCCUGAACAGAAACAUUACAAUAAUGUUUGAUUUUCACCACAAGUCACAACCACCUGUUGAGCUGUCCGGAGACAGGUGGAACUGUUCGGUUCCAGACUGGCCGGACAUGUGGCAGGACACUCCCUGUAUCUUGAUGUUUGACUGUAACGACAAGGAGGCAGAAGGUGGUUGCUGGCAGGGUGAUGGCACAUUCAAACAGGGAGUGUUUCAGGUGGACGGGCGCUGUAUUGGUAUUUCACGUGUAAAUCAAAGGUCGACUUGGUCCCUUGAGAACCAAUGGUGUCAGGAACGAGGAGGACAACUGGUCAGUCUGAGUACGAAAACCAUGAGGGACCGUCUUCUACCACUGUUGGCAAUGUUUGCCCACAACACCGUAGGUUACGUGGCCUGACGACAAUGCCGCCUUUAUUGUCACCAAUGUAUAAACACAGCCUACAGUGGCAUUUGAUAAGACUGUAGCACAUACAAUGAGCAAACUCUACAGCUCAGCGUAUACAAUACUGUUUUCGUAUUCAAGUGAGUGCCUUUGGGCGUGGACUAUUUGGUGCUAUUUUCCGAAAGAUGGAUGCAACGAUGUGUAUGCAAUCACAGGUCGCUUAUGCCAUCUUGUGGACACUCGUAAACAAACACGAGACGUUGAGGUGCCAGUGAUUUCCACAAGACAACCCGCUGACAGACUGUCACAGGCUGCGUACAUCCGAUGCCCCGCUAAUCACUUCACUCACGUGUUCCUGGCUUGUGAUGGCGCCUCUGACCUGUUGGUCUGGUAACUAUGGCCACACGACUUCCUGUCCGGCACCACUGACGUCA